UUUCAUCUCAAUCUAACACUAUCGGGAGAAGUAACACUCUGUGUCUCUAACGCCAUCUCCAAAACAUCUGCUCUCUGUCUCCUCUUGUUCUUAAGUUUGCAGUGUGUUUUCUUCCAUCGAUCGUAUUUUUUAGUGGGACCGAACGAGUGAAAGAUCUCCAAGUGUACAUAGGAUUUUAUUGAAUUUCAUAUGGGAAUAAACAAGCAAGGAUUGCAACGCAACUGCUUGAUAGUGUUGUAGGUGGCUCAUAUUGUGAGGUGAGGAAUGAACUUUCCUGAAGAAUACUACUCCUAAGAGUUUUUGCAGUUACUUAAUGUUUUAGCAUAUUAUAGAACUUAUUUAAUCAGUUGAUUUAGACAAUCUAAUCUAGCUUUAACAGUUAUCUUUGUAUCUUCCAUUUUUGCGCAAUUUCAAAAUACAUUUGGUUUUA